rnacentral:rRNA from 1 species
GACGAACGCUGGCGGCGUGCUUAACACAUGCAAGUCGAACGGAAAGGCCCUGCUUUUGUGGGGUGCUCGAGUGGCGAACGGGUGAGUAACACGUGAGUAACCUGCCCUUGACUUUGGGAUAACUUCAGGAAACUGGGGCUAAUACCGGAUAGGAGCUCCUGCUGCAUGGUGGGGGUUGGAAAGUUUCGGCGGUUGGGGAUGGACUCGCGGCUUAUCAGCUUGUUGGUGGGGUAGUGGCUUACCAAGGCUUUGACGGGUAGCCGGCCUGAGAGGGUGACCGGCCACAUUGGGACUGAGAUACGGCCCAGACUCCUACGGGAGGCAGCAGUGGGGAAUAUUGCACAAUGGGCGGAAGCCUGAUGCAGCAACGCCGCGUGCGGGAUGACGGCCUUCGGGUUGUAAGCCGCUUUCGCCUGUGACGAAGCGUGAGUGACGGUAAUGGGUAAAGAAGCACCGGCUAACUACGUGCCAGCAGCCGCGGUGAUACGUAGGGUGCGAGCGUUGUCCGGAUUUAUUGGGCGUAAAGGGCUCGUAGGUGGUUGAUCGCGUCGGAAGUGUAAUCUUGGGGCUUAACCCUGAGCGUGCUUUCGAUACGGGUUGACUUGAGGAAGGUAGGGGAGAAUGGAAUUCCUGGUGGAGCGGUGGAAUGCGCAGAUAUCAGGAGGAACACCAGUGGCGAAGGCGGUUCUCUGGGCCUUUCCUGACGCUGAGGAGCGAAAGCGUGGGGAGCGAACAGGCUUAGAUACCCUGGUAGUCCACGCUGUAAACGGUGGGUACUAGGUGUGGGGUCCAUUCCACGGGUUCCGUGCCGUAGCUAACGCUUUAAGUACCCCGCCUGGGGAGUACGGCCGCAAGGCUAAAACUCAAAGGAAUUGACGGGGCCCCGCACAAGCGGCGGAGCAUGCGGAUUAAUUCGAUGCAACGCGUAGAACCUUACCUGGGUUUGACAUGGAUCGGGAGUGCUCAGAGAUGGGUGUGCCUCUUUUGGGGUCGGUUCACAGGUGGUGCAUGGCUGUCGUCAGCUCGUGUCGUGAGAUGUUGGGUUAAGUCCCGCAACGAGCGCAACCCUUGUUCACUGUUGCCAGCACGUUAUGGUGGGGACUCAGUGGAGACCGCCGGGGUCAACUCGGAGGAAGGUGGGGAUGACGUCAAGUCAUCAUGCCCCUUAUGUCCAGGGCUUCACGCAUGCUACAAUGGCUGGUACAGAGAGUGGCGAGCCUGUGAGGGUGAGCGAAUCUCGGAAAGCCGGUCUCAGUUCAGAUUGGGGUCUGCAACUCGACCUCAUGAAGUCGGAGUCGCUAGUAAUCGCAGAUCAGCAACGCUGCGGUGAAUACGUUCCCGGG